GGUAUGGGCUAGUUGCACAAGAUGGCGUCUAUCAACUUCCGGCGGCUGGGUGUGCGGUUGUAAACUUCCGGUCUACAGUAGAGCGGUAGAGGGAAGUGCGAUAGAUAGCGUAUAGAUAGCGUAUAGAUAGCGUAUAGAUAGCGAGAGAGAUAGCGUAUAGAUAUUAUAUAGGCACUAUUUUACACUCGAUGUCUCCAAGACCUACCGAAGGUUAACAUCAGUGAUGUACAUCGGCUGGUACAAGCGGCAGGCUCAGCCCCGAGGAGCAAAAGAGAAAAGGGGUUCAAGAUGUAGCUACAUAUCCAGCUACGUCGACAAUUAUGAAGGGUGUGAAACCAGGCAGAGUGAGUGACAUGGUGUUCAUUUCCACUAUGCCAAAGCAGUUUACAGUUGCUGACGGUGUAAGGAGUACACGUUACAAGGCCGUGCGGGGGGAGCUGCCAGACCCAGAUGUCCUCAAAGUCAGCGAGGUAUACAAGGACUUCUCAGCAGACAUCGCAAACCGAAAAAAAAAAAGGAAUGGCUCACUACUCAACUCAACGACUAACACUCUUUCAGAGGAUAUUCUUCAGAUUAUGGACUAUUGUGAUGUUGUCUACCAAAAUGCAC